ACAAUCCAGGGAGUUCUUCUUCUCAUCCUCAUCUUCUACACAUCAUGAAUUAAAGAAGAAAGAGAGCUAGAGUGUAGAAUUUUGAGUAGCAAUUUCAAAUAAUCACUCUCAAGAAAGAUCAAUUCAUCAUUUGCCAUCAAUUUUGGAGCUUAAAUGGAGAUUCUACACGUGGGCGGAUUGGAGAAUUAGAAGAAUUGGAAUUAAUCAACGGACUAUUUUAUAUUUUGCAAUUGGAAAAUUUGAAUUUAAGCGAUCGAGUGUUUUCUUUCAGGAUUAAUACUUGAUGAUGUGGUCGAGCUUCCAAUCAUUGUUCCGGAAGUCUCAAUUAUGGGGAGUCUUAUUUUUCUUAGAGCUGCAGUAGUCAAGAUAUUAGAGUUAGCUUGUAGCAAACAAUUUAUGUUUAUUUUAUGCCAUGACAUAAUAAUGUAUUUUGGGAAAAUGAAUUAUCCAGGAAUUUAAUAUAUGGUUAAUUGGUAUUUUAUACAGAGUAGUUUGUGUGUU